GCUCAGGCCUUUACAUGGUUUUCUAUGUAAUUCAAAUAAAAAAUGCCUGUGCAACUCAAAAAAUAGUUGAAAACAUCAACAGAAGGCUGUGAUGUGUGUGAUAAAAGGAGAUACCUAAUUGGUGUAUACCCAUAAAAAAAUGAUUUAAAUGCAGUUCUGCCAGCAAAAAAUAUGACCAAUACUCCUGAGAAAUGGUCCUGCCUGAACAUGUUUCCUUGAUUUCAUUGCCUUAGCAGAAGCCCUCCAUAUGGCCAUGUGAUUGCUGCUGUUGCUGCUUCACGUGAUCCAGCUUUCCGGCAAAAAGGCUCCAGGCUCGUACAGAUGAUUGUUAAACAUCAUGAGACUCUGAAAGGUAGAGUAGGCAAGAGGAGGAGGGAGCCAAGAAAAGAACUGUGUGGGAGUUACACUGAAAAAUGGAUUUGAAAAUGAAGCACUGAAGAAGCAACUGGAGGGCAGGAGACGUUUAGUUAGAAGUUUCAUCUCAGGAAGAGAGUCCUCUCAGAGAACAGUCCCGUUGGCCACCUGAGCCAUGUGUGAAAUUCAUCAUGGAUUUAAAAAAGGAAAAAUAUGUGUAGCCAUGUGACAAAGCAAAUGCAUGAAAGGAAGAUUUAUUCAGUUUUCCGAAGAUCAGCAGCAGUGAAUCACCCUCUUGGCUGAGCUGGAGUGCAAUAUGGUCAACUGUUUCCCCCAGGGAAGAAGAAAAGAUGAAAGUCCCACACUGCUGUAAUGGCCAUGCAGGAAGCAGUGACCUGUGCCAGGACAGCUCCAGCCAGUGCGCCAGUGAAUCUCUUGAAGAAAAACUUGAAAGCCUGGAAGCUGAAGAUCUCAUGUCUCAUCUGUCACAACCAGAAACCUACCUAGAUGAGGAGAAAAGAUCAAGUAA